CUCUGUGCCAGCAGCCGCGGUAAUACAGAGGUCUACAGCGUUGUUCGGAAUCACGUGGGCGUAAAGGUGCGUAGGUGGCGUGGAAAGUCAGAUGUGAAAGCCCGGGGCUCAACCUCGGAAUAGCAUCCGAUACUACCAUGCUAGAGUACUGAAGAGGUGACUAGAAUUCUCGGUGUAGCAGUGAAAUGCGUAGAUAUCGAGAGGAAUACCAACGGCGAAGGCAGGUCACUGGGCAGUUACUGACACUGAGGCACGAAGGCCAGGGGAGCAAACGGGAUUAGAUACCCCGGUAGUCCUGGCAGUAAACGGUGCACGUUUGGUGUGGGCGCAAUCGACCGCGUCCGCGCCGGAGCUAACGCGUUAAACGUGCCGCCUGGGAAGUACGGUCGCAAGAUUAAAACUCAAAGAAAUUGACGGGGACCCGCACAAGCGGUGGAGUAUGUGGCUUAAUUCGAUG
rnacentral:rRNA from 1 species